rnacentral:rRNA from 1 species
GAUGAACGCUGGCGGCGUGCCUAAUACAUGCCAGUCGAGCGAACAGACGAGGAGCUUGCUCCUCUGACGUUAGCGGCGGACGGGUGAGUAACACGUGGAUAACCUACCUAUAAGACUGGGAUAACUUCGGGAAACCGGAGCUAAUACCGGAUAAUAUAUUGAACCGCAUGGUUCAAUAGUGAAAGACGGUUUUGCUGCCACUUAUAGAUGGAUCCGCGCCGCAUUAGCUAGUUGGUAAGGUAACGGCUUACCAAGGCAACGAUGCGUAGCCGACCUGAGAGGGUGAUCGGCCACACUGGAACGGAGACACGGUCCAGACUCCUACGGGAGGCAGCAGUAGGGAAUCUUCCGCAAUGGGCGAAAGCCUGACGGAGCAACGCCGCGUGAGUGAUGAAGGUCUUCGGAUCGUAAAACUCUGUUAUUAGGGAAGAACAAAUGUGUAAGUAACUAUGCACGUCUUGACGGUACCUAAUCAGAAAGCCACGGCUAACUACGUG